GGAGGUAUGGCUCAAUUGGUAGAGCUCUAGCCUUGAGCCAAAAAGCCAAGUGAAAGCAUGAGGCUCUGAGUUCAAUUCCCAGUACUAGCA
rnacentral:tRNA from 1 species